GAAGAGGAGAAGAAGAAGAAGAGGAAGAGAAGAGGAAGAGGAAGCAGGGGAAGAGGUUGUGAUACCUCUGUUUCCUGCAGAGGAAACAGAGGAGAGGGUGUGGGUGACGUCGGGGAGAAGAAGGGGAGGAAGGAGAAGAAGAGAAGAAGAAGAAAGGAAGGAAAAGGAAGAGGAGAAGGGAAGAAAGUAGCUGCGGCUGCGGUUGUGGCAGCUGCAGCUGUGGCAGGGAAAGAAGAAGAGAAAGGAAGAAGGGGAGGAGAGGAAGAAGAGUAGGGGCUGCGGCUGCGGCGAUGGCAGCUGCAGUUGGAAGAGAAGAAGGAGAGGAAGAUGAGCAGGGGAGGAAGAAAAGGCUGUGGCCGUGGCUGAGGCUGCGACUGCAGCAUGCAGCUGGGAAAGAAGAGAAGGAAAGGAAGAAGAAGAGAAAGGAAGAAGGGAAGGAGAGGAAGAAGAGAAGGGGCUGCGGCUGCGGCGAUGGCAGCUGCAGUUGGAAGAGAAGAAGGAGAGGAAGAUGAGCAGGGGAGGAAGAAAAGGCUGUGGCCGUGGCUGAGGCUGCGACUGCAGCAUGCAGCUGGGAAAGAAGAGAAGGAAAGGAAGAAGAAGAGAAAGGAAGAAGGGAAGGAGAGGAAGAAGAGAAGGGGCUACGGCUGCGGCGAUGGCAGCUGCAGUUGGAAGAGAAGAAGGAGAGGAAGAUGAGCAGGGGAGGAAGAAGAGGCUGCGAGUGUGGUGGCUGCAGCCGUGGCUGCGACUCCGGCUGCGGCUGCAACGUUGGCUGCGGUAGCUGCGGCAGCGGUGGUGGCUGCAGUAGCUGCAGUAGCUGCUUUUGGGAAAGAGAAAGAGUAGGAACGAGAGAAGGGAAGAAGGAAAUAGUGCAGUGGAAGGGGGCUGCGGUUGUGACCGCAGUUGCGGUCGUGGCUGCGAUUGUGGCAGCGGCAGCGGCGGCGGCUAUGGCAGCUGCGUUUGGGAAAGAAAAAGAAGGAAUGAGAGUAAGAGAGAGCAGGUGACUGUGCCUCGAUGUUCGACACGUGAUGUAGUUGCGAAGAAAGGAAGAAAACGGGAGCACAAAACGAAACAAAGAGAGGACACGGAGAAAAAGUAGAAGGAUUUGAGCUGGCACCUUCUUUGGAUCUUCGGAUCGAAAUCAUUGAAAGGUCAGCUUGUCACUCUUCGAGAUGUUUGAUUUGGGCUGAGGCAGUGGAUAGCUAUUCAGAAUAAUGGGCAAGUCUGGUUGGUUAUUACGAUAUUGUUGUAUAAGUAUGUCUUGUAUGUAAUGAAAUGUUGUCGAUGAACCGAAAUGGAUAUACUGUGUCAGAGUGUUAGGAGAUCUCUCUUAUUUGGAAUUUCAGAAUGUUAAGUCUAAUUUAUGGUGAUAUGAACUUGUGGUGAAUAGUUGGAGUUCUGAUUGUAUAAUUUAUUUAGCUUGUGGAUUUAUAAAUGUUGUUCUUGUUUGUCAA